rnacentral:rRNA from 1 species
CGGUUAAGUUAGAAAGGGCGCACGGUGGAUGCCUUGGCACUAGGAGCCGAUGAAGGACGGGACGAACACCGAUAUGCUUCGGGGAGCUGUAAGCAAGCUUUGAUCCGGAGAUUUCCGAAUGGGGAAACCCACCACUCGUAAUGGAGUGGUAUCUAUAUCUGAAUACAUAGGAUAUGAGAAGGCAGACCCGGGGAACUGAAACAUCUAAGUACCCGGAGGAAGAGAAAGCAAAUGCGAUUCCCUGAGUAGCGGCGAGCGAAACGGGACCAGCCCAAACCAAGAGGCUUGCCUCUUGGGGUUGUAGGACACUCUGUACGGAGUUACAAAGGAACGAGGUAGAUGAAGAGGUCUGGAAAGGCCCGCCAUAGAAGGUAACAGCCCUGUAGUCAAAACUUCGUUCUCUCCUGAGUGGAUCCUGAGUACGGCGGAACACGUGAAAUUCCGUCGGAAUCCGGGAGGACCAUCUCCCAAGGCUAAAUACUCCCUAGUGACCGAUAGUGAACCAGUACCGUGAGGGAAAGGUGAAAAGCACCCCGGAAGGGGAGUGAAAGAGAUCCUGAAACCGUGUGCCUACAAGUAGUCAGAGCCCGUUAACGGGUGAUGGCGUGCCUUUUGUAGAAUGAACCGGCGAGUUACGAUCCCGUGCAAGGUUAAGCAGAAGAUGCGGAGCCGCAGCGAAAGCGAGUCUGAAUAGGGCGAAUUGAGUACGUGGUCGUAGACCCGAAACCAGGUGAUCUACCCAUGUCCAGGGUGAAGUUCAGGUAACACUGAAUGGAGGCCCGAACCCACGCACGUUGAAAAGUGCGGGGAUGAGGUGUGGGUAGGGGUGAAAUGCCAAUCGAACCUGGAGAUAGCUGGUUCUCUCCGAAAUAGCUUUAGGGCUAGCCUCAAGGUAAGAGUCUCGGAGGUAGAGCACUGAUUGGACUAGGGGCCCCUACCGGGUUACCGAAUUCAGUCAAACUCCGAAUGCCGAUGACUUAUCCUUGGGAGUCAGACUGCGAGUGAUAAGAUCCGUAGUCGAAAGGGAAACAGCCCAGACCGCCAGCUAAGGUCCCAAAGUAUACGUUAAGUGGAAAAGGAUGUGGAGUUGCUUAGACAACCAGGAUGUUGGCUUAGAAGCAGCCACCAUUUAAAGAGUGCGUAAUAGCUCACUGGUCGAGUGACUCUGCGCCGAAAAUGUACCGGGGCUAAACGUAUCACCGAAGCUGCGGACUGUUCUUCGAACAGUGGUAGGAGAGCGUUCUAAGGGCUGUGAAGCAAGACCGGAAGGACUUGUGGAGCGCUUAGAAGUGAGAAUGCCGGUAUGAGUAGCGAAAGAGGGGUGAGAAUCCCCUCCACCGAAUGCCUAAGGUUUCCUGAGGAAGGCUCGUCCGCUCAGGGUUAGUCGGGACCUAAGCCGAGGCCGAAAGGCGUAGGCGAUGGAUAACAGGUUGAUAUUCCUGUACCACCUCCUCACCAUUUGAGCAAUGGGGGGACGCAGGAGGAUAGGGUAAGCGCGGUAUUGGAUAUCCGCGUCCAAGCAGUUAGGCUGGGAAAUAGGCAAAUCCGUUUCCCGUGAAGGCUGAGCUGUGAUGGCGAGCGAAUUAUAGUAGCGAAGUUCCUGAUUCCACACUGCCAAGAAAAGCCUCUAGCGAGGUGAGAGGUGCCCGUACCGCAAACCGACACAGGUAGGCGAGGAGAGAAUCCUAAGGUGAUCGAGAGAACUCUCGUUAAGGAACUCGGCAAAAUGACCCCGUAACUUCGGGAGAAGGGGUGCUCUGUUAGGGUGCAAGCCCGAGAGAGCCGCAGUGAAUAGGCCCAGGCGACUGUUUAGCAAAAACACAGGUCUCUGCGAAGCCGUAAGGCGAAGUAUAGGGGCUGACGCCUGCCCGGUGCUGGAAGGUUAAGAGGAGUGCUUAGCGUAAGCGAAGGUGCGAAUUGAAGCCCCAGUAAACGGCGGCCGUAACUAUAACGGUCCUAAGGUAGCGAAAUUCCUUGUCGGGUAAGUUCCGACCCGCACGAAAGGCGCAACGAUCUGGGCACUGUCUCAACGAGAGACUCGGUGAAAUUAUAGUACCUGUGAAGAUGCAGGUUACCCGCGACAGGACGGAAAGACCCCGUGGAGCUUUACUGCAGCCUGAUAUUGAAUGUUGGUACAGCUUGUACAGGAUAGGUAGGAGCCUUGGAAACCGGAGCGCCAGCUUCGGUGGAGGCAUCGGUGGGAUACUACCCUGGCUGUAUUGACCUUCUAACCCGCCGCCCUUAUCGGGCGGGGAGACAGUGUCAGGUGGGCAGUUUGACUGGGGCGGUCGCCUCCUAAAAGGUAACGGAGGCGCCCAAAGGUUCCCUCAGAAUGGUUGGAAAUCAUUCGCAGAGUGUAAAGGCACAAGGGAGCUUGACUGCGAGACCUACAAGUCGAGCAGGGACGAAAGUCGGGCUUAGUGAUCCGGUGGUUCCGCAUGGAAGGGCCAUCGCUCAACGGAUAAAAGCUACCCCGGGGAUAACAGGCUUAUCUCCCCCAAGAGUCCACAUCGACGGGGAGGUUUGGCACCUCGAUGUCGGCUCAUCGCAUCCUGGGGCUGUAGUCGGUCCCAAGGGUUGGGCUGUUCGCCCAUUAAAGCGGUACGCGAGCUGGGUUCAGAACGUCGUGAGACAGUUCGGUCCCUAUCCGUCGCGGGCGCAGGAAAUUUGAGAGGAGCUGUCCUUAGUACGAGAGGACCGGGAUGGACGCACCGCUGGUGUACCAGUUGUUCUGCCAAGGGCAUCGCUGGGUAGCUAUGUGCGGACGGGAUAAGUGCUGAAAGCAUCUAAGCAUGAAGCCCCCCUCAAGAUGAGAUUUCCCAUUCCGCAAGGAAGUAAGAUCCCUGAAAGAUGAUCAGGUUGAUAGGUCUGAGGUGGAAGUGUGGCGACACAUGGAGCUGACAGAUACUAAUCGAUCGAGGACUUAACCAAUUU